UGACUGAGAUAACAUUCAAUAUGCUAGGAAGGAAAAUUGGGCUAGCUCUUACUUCAUGGAGAAAUUUUGUGCUGGGUUUAGGACUACCUCACGAUGUGAGGGCAUCAAUAAUUAUGUGAAAACUUUCAUUAGCUCUCGUCAUUGUCUGUUAGACUUGGUGACUAAUCUUGAACGUGCUGUUCGAGAUUACAGGAACAAUGAAAUGGUUUCCCAAUUCAAGACUAUCUAUGGUGAACCUGUGUUGACCACUGGUUUAACCAAUCUUGAAUGUAGUGCUACAGAAGCAUACACGAAGGAAAUAUACAGGUUGGUUAAAAAGGAGAUUCAGGCCGUGGUUGCACUUGAGUUAAUAGAGGAUCAAAGUAUAUCCAGAACAAUAAUUUAUAAGGUGUAUCAUCAUGAGAAUAGAGAUCGCUUGUACACUGUUAUGUUUGAUUGCAAUGACAAGAAUAUAGAGUGUGAAUGCAAAAGAUGGAAUACUGAGGGCAUUUCCUGUAGACAUAUGUUUUAUGUCAUGAAACGGGAAGCCUGUAAAGAAAUUCCAGAGAAGCUCAUUUUAAAGAGAUGGAAUAAAAGAGCAAAGCAUUUUUCCAAUGAGAUAAAUAUUAGGCAAAGUGAGAUUGAAAAAAGAGAGAGGGUUUUUAAUGUGAUAUGCAGCAUUGUCUGUGGCCACCACCUGGAUGUCUUUCAUUGGAGCACAAGAGCUUCCCCUUUUCCAUCAAACAAUGAAAGAAGUGUGUAGAUUGAUAAGAGAGAUUGAAACAAAGACCUCAAAGAAGCAACAUACGGAGGAGGCACCUACACAGAGCAUAAUUGGUGACCUAAGCGUUGUGAAGACAAAAGGCGCACCAAAAUUGAAAAAAGAUGAAAAAGGGAGGAGGAAGUGUAAAAAUUGUGGGAAAGAAGGUCACACAAAAAGGACUUGUUCUAUUAUUGGGAAAGAAGAAACUCAGGCAACGAAUCAAGAAUUGAACACCACAAUUGAUGAAGCUAAAACUCAUGAGAUAGAUCCUAUUGUAGCUUCACAGAUCUCGUCAAUCAUCGGUAACACACCACCCAACGAAGAUGUUGCUUGAAAUACAAAUGAGUUGAAUCCACGGUUUAGUGUUGUUAAUUGCAUUCCCCUAAUAUCCAACAACUUAAAUGAAAUUCCACAAGGGUCUUAUCGGUGGAUGCUACAGGUAAUGCAAAAUCGUAUGGCAAACAAGUGAUAAAUGGACCCGUCAACAUGGAUGACUGGGGAGAUCAUCGGCCGCAAAAUUAUUUUGCUUGUUUUUUCUAUGUUUGAGUUUUAUUACAAGACUUGGUGCAUCCUAGAAUGAAUUUGUCAUUAGAUUAUUUGUGUGAGAAAAUAUAUGCUAUCUUAAAUGAGGAAUAGUUGUCAAUGAAUUAAUGAAAUUGUCUUUC